ACAAACGCGACUAAGCUGUCUUUCACCGGCUUGAGGGCACAUGAGGAGCCGCUUCGGAUGAAGAGCAGGAUGGAUUUUGGGAGCCUUUGGCUGGAGAGCGACCCAAAGUUGGGCUGUUUCUGUUGGACAGGAUGGACAUCAUUGUGGCAUGUCAAGGACAUAGUGAACCAGAUUGUCAUGUUGCAGAGAAGUGAUGACCCAUCUGCAUUUCAUGGGCCUUUGGACCUCCGCCAUGUUGCUGAUAAGCCUGGUUGUCUUGCAGCCAGUCAGACAAGGACCUGGACUGAGAGAGGGAGCAGGACUUGCUACACCCUCAGUAUCCACUAUGCCCCCAAGUACCUGAACCUCAGGAUUAAUGUCACCAUGGCAUGCAGAGGACAUAGUGAAUUACUCUUAUCAUGUGGUGGAAAAGUGAUGACCUAUUUGCAUUACAUGGACCUUUGGACCUCCAUCUUGUUGCUGUGAUGAGCAUGAUUGCCUUGCAGUUGGACAAAGACCUGGCCUGAUAGAGGGAGCAAACCGUCUCUACUAUUGUGGAUGGACAUCAUUGUUGCAUGUCAAGGACAUAGCAAACCAGAUUGUCAUGUUGCAGAGAUGUGAUGACACAUUUCAUGGACCUUUGGGCCUCCUCCAUGUUACUGGGAUGAGCAUAAUUGCCUUGCAGGGACCAGGACUAAUUUACACCCUCACUAAC